rnacentral:rRNA from 1 species
UACGAAGGGGGCUAGCGUUGCUCGGAAUGACUGGGCGUAAAGGGCGCGUAGGCGGUGGACACAGUCAGGCGUGAAAUUCCUGGGCUCAACCUGGGGGCUGCGUUUGAUACGUGUUUGCUAGAGUGGGGAAGAGGGUCGUGGAAUUCCCAGUGUAGAGGUGAAAUUCGUAGAUAUUGGGAAGAACACCGGUGGCGAAGGCGGCGACCUGGUCCUUGACUGACGCUGAGGCGCGAAAGCUAGGGGAGCAAACGGG